rnacentral:lncRNA from 1 species
UGGGUAUUUUUCAAAAAUGGGCCUGUCCCACGUGAAUGUAGUUCCCCAGUCCCAAUAUGGUGCAGAAUCAAGUGGGAAGGCAGAGGCUUCUGAAAAUCUAAUGGCUCAUUCAGUUUCUAAUGAUCCAAAUGUGUCAAAAGAUGAUGGCCUGAGGGAAGUUUUGCCAACGACAAACCUGAAGGAAGUUUUUCCAAAGACAAGCCUGAAGGAAGUUUUGCCAAAGACAACAGCUGUGGAUUCAACUUCUAAAAGUAGCAAAGAUGUUGAUAUUGGGAUUGCAGCUCGAGGCGUAGGAGCACUUCUCUCUUCUGUUGACCUCAAUCU